AACGGUCUAUACCUGCGGUACCUGCGGAAGGAUCAUUACUGAAUUGAUUUUGGGGAUGUUGCUGGUCUCUUGAGGCAAUGGUGCACUCCCUCAAACAUUUCACAAUUUCCAUCUUACCCAUGUGCACAUCCUGUAGGUGGUCUCCCAACCCACCCUCCAAGGAAAGGGGGGGAGUGUGUGGGUCUGGUCUCCUAUGUAUUUCCUUGCCAACAUCACUCGUUUUGACUGAAUGAAUCCUGU
rnacentral:misc_RNA from 1 species